rnacentral:rRNA from 1 species
AGAGAUGUGUGAUGACGCAUAUCAAUAAGCGGAGGAAAAGAAACUAACAAGGAUUCCCUUAGUAACGGCGAGUGAAGCGGGAAGAGCUCAAAUUUGAAAUCUUCAAGGUUCUACCUUGACGAAUUGUAGUUUAUAGAAGUGUUUUCUGUUAGUAGGAGUGGCAAAAGUUCUUUGGAAUAGGACAUCAUAGAGGGUGAGAAUCCCGUAUUUGGUCAUUCCUCCUAGCGCUGUGAUACACUUUCAACGAGUCGGAUUGUUUGGGAAUGCAGUCCAAAAUGGGUGGUAAAUUUCAUCUAAAGCUAAAUAUUGGCGAGAGACCGAUAGCGAACAAGUACCGUGAGGGAAAGAUGAAAAGAACUUUGAAAAGAGAGUUAAACAGUACGUGAAAUUGUCAAAAGGGAAGCGUUUGACACCAGUGUUGUUUUUCUCGAAAAUCAAUUAACGAAUGUUUUGUUUUUGAGAAGUUAUGACUUCAUCGGCUUGCUUCUCUCUUUACGAACUUUCUUAAUGCACUUUCGGUUAACAAGUCAACAUCAAUUUCUUUUGUUGUAAAAGGGUAUGAGGAAGGUGGCUUUCCUUUCGGAGAAAGUGUUUAUAGCCUUGUAGCCUUCUGCAAUCGGAGAGAUUGAGGUCUGCAGCGUAGAUCCUUCGGGGUUAGAUACAGUUAGUGCUAAGUUAUAGCUUUUUCAUAGACAACUUGUUGACUAUGUUAAGUCUUGUAGCUUACUCGCUUAUGGCUAUUUUACCUACGCUUAGGAUGUUGACGAUCAGCUGAGCGCGC